ACACCACCAUGAAAUUUCAGAUUUAAAUAGCUGAAAUAAUGAAAUUUACAAUUUUAAAAAUCCUAUGACCGUGAAAUUGACCAAAAUGGACCCUGAAUUUGGUAGGGCCCUGACAAUAGGGCACCAGCUGAUUCAUAGUUGAACAACAAUGCUCAUCUGCCCCCUUGGCCAAUGAAGUCCUGCGUGUCUCAAGCUGGGACCCAAAAAUGAUGGCUUCCGCAAUGACUGGGCACUUCUGAAAAUUAGGCCAGAAUUUUCACAACACACCUCAAAGACAGGCAAGUAUCUCCAAUAUACAGAGGGCUAAACAAAGCCGUAGAGAAGCUAUGGUCAAUGGGACUUGUGCGCCUAAGUCAUGGAGCUACCUUUGAAACUCCCACCCAAGAACAACAAGCUUUCGUAUGCACUAGACAAUCAAUCAACAAUGCAGAUCCCAUUGGCUGGAGAAAUUCCAUCACCGUGAAAAAAAGCUCAGCAUUUAAACAGGGCACAUGUGAAGUGGAGCUAAACGUGUCUCACUGAGUGCAAAUGUCAGCCAGGUAUAUGCACUCGAACCAGAGUACUAGAACUGACCCCAAACCAAACCUCCAGAUGCCAGGAGAGACUGUGGUGCUGAAAGCAUCCUGGCCUGACUGGUAAAUGGAUCAGACCAAAACAAAAACAAAAAAAGGCCAAGGCACCAGUAAACAUUCCAUGGUACGAUCUCUCAUGAACCACCAGGGCUAGAAACUCAUGCUAUACCCCUCACUAUGUGUCUGGGAAUGCCAGCUAACCAAUGCACUACAGAGCUAGUGUACUAGCUUCAAGGUGCUAGAAAUGUGAGAUGCUAAGAAUCACACUGUUCAGUUUGCACAACCACUGCAUCUAAUACUUGCAGAGUAGCAUCUUGGCCUGUGACCCAGCCAGUCAACACCUGCACCAGGGCAAAACAAUCCUGGGGAAGACCAGAUCCAAACUCUGUGAAUGGCCCACCAUAUUUAUUGUAGGCCCAACCAAAACCCUGGAUCUGAACUGUGGCGGAUCUGAACCUGAAUGGUAUAGCUCAGGCCCAUUUCUUUCUAUUUCAGUGUUGCCAACUCUCACGAUUUUAUUACAAGUCUUGGAUACCUGAUGUUUUCCCUAAAGCCCCAGCUCCUGGAAUCAUGUGAUGAGGCAUUUUCACACAUCCUACCCAUCUACUCUGUCUUACACAUCCAAUCAUCCCUCCGGACAAGAAAACACCCCUCAGAUGGUAUCAGCUCUGCAUCUCAAUCUAGCCAGGCUGGCUUCAAACCUGUCUCAAGCCCAAAGGCCCUGUGUAGCCUAUUGCCAACCCACUGAUCAGUAGAAUUUGUUUCUACAAGGCUUGCAACAAAAAUGGAGGCCAAUUGCCUCAGUGACACUUGAAGGACAAUGGAUCAGAGGAUUGAUACUGAAGGAGUUUCACUCUUGGAGAACGGACUUGGGAGAGUCCGGGCUCACUGGAAACAGGACUAUUUAGAGAGCCAAUAAAUAUCCUGAAUCUCCAUCUAAAUAGGAACCGGAAGCCAUAAAUGCGGUGCCAUUUGGAUAAAGCCUGGAGUCCGCAUUAGUUGCCGACAAUGGCAAGUCCCAAUUCACCUUCCAACAGAAGAUUAAAUGUUAUGGUUAAAGUUUUCAAAGCAGCCUAAGGCAAAGAGGUGCCCAAAUCCCACUGGGAGUUGUGACCGUAAGUACUUUAGUCCUUCUGAAACCCCAGAGGAGAUUGUCCCAUAGAGCGACCAUGAGGAAAGAGAGAAGGAACCGUAAACAAGGACAGCUACAGAGAACCAGACAUGAACACUGACCAUUUAUUUCUCUUCCAGGAGAACUAAAGGCCUUUCCCUAAUAUCCCAGCAAAAGCUGUGACAGCUCACGUGUCAGGAUACCACAGUGUGGAAUAAUUUUUUGGUUCUAAGAAGUUCAGCCUCCACAUGGCUGACAUCAGAGGAAUCUCAUAGGAUAAGGUGGAUCAGAUGGACAUGAGUGGCCAAAGACAGGACAGUAACUGAAUUUAGAGCCGGUGCAUCUUACGCCUUCUGCUGCGUCUCUCAGCGUGCAACCUACACCAACUUAGACAUGUUGAUGGGUAACUUAACACUCCCCAGACAUCACCACAUCUGGAAUUUGCCCACUGAGCCUGAGGGAUUCCAAGAGGGCGAGUCGAAGAUGGUGGAGAUCGCACACCGAGGAGACCACACAGUAAAUGAUGCCGGCUUUAAGUCCUCAGACUCCACCUCGGAAUCUGGCUCUUUGAAUUUUGGCCCAGCCCUUCCCCUCGCAGGGCAGCGGAGUUGGCAAUUCCCAAUACAAACACUGCUAGUAACUGGAUGCAAGCGCUGUGCCUCCAGCCCAUUCACAUACAAGAGAGAUGGACGCAGCUAACACCAUUGCGGAGGUUGGAGUGGAGCGGAACUUGGGAACAUUCAGAAGCAAGCGUUGGCUCUCCACCAGUCUCCCCCAGAAAAAGGCACAUUCCAAAUAAGCGAGCCUCCUUUCCCAAAGUGAGAAGAUAACAUUUUACUGAAGGACUCGGGAAACCCUCUGACUUGCAGUCGCCUGGGACAGGA